ACAGCCUAUAAAAUAAUUGAUAUUUACGCUGAUUUACAAUUCUAUCCGUCUGAUCAAACUCACGAAGGUAGUGAACCUACCUCCGCUGAAUUGGACAUUUUGUCAUUUUUAUGGUUUACUGGGAAUAAAGUUUAUUUAAGAGAUAUCUCCCAGAGAUUUGGAGCAUGCCCUGCAACUGCGGUAAGACAGCAUAACCGAGAAUUUUUUAAUUAACUUGGCUCCGAAUGUAAUCAAAUUUGAUGAAAAGGAACAUACUGCAAACGAGUUCUUCGAAAUUGCAGGUUUUCCUCAGGUACUUGGCCACGUUGAUUAUACAUCAAUCAAAGUACGUAUUCUACAACAUAAAAUUAAAUCGAUCUAUGUAAACACGAUAUUCCAUCAACAGCACUAUAAG